CCAAUAGCGUAUAUUAAAGUUGUUGCAGUUAAAAAGCUCGUAGUUGAAUUUCGGAACCAAUAUGUUGGUCGUGCCUUGGUACGUACUGGCGUCAUUGGUUUCUCCCUUCUGAAGAACCUUGAUGUCAUUAAUUUGGUGUCUUGGGGAAUCAGGACUGUUACUUUGAAAAAAUUAGAGUGUUUAAAGCAGGCUCGCGCUUGAAUACAUUAGCAUGGAAUAAUGAAAUAGGACGUUUGAUUCUAUUUUGUUGGUUUCUAGGAUCGACGUAAUGAUUAAUAGGGAUAGUUGGGGGCAUUAGUAUUCAAUUGUCAGAGGUGAAAUUCUUGGAUUUAUUGAAGACUAACUACUGCGAAAGCAUUUGCCAAGGAUGUUUUCAUUAAUCAAGAACGAAAGUUAGGGGAUCGAAGACGAUCAGAUACCGUCGUAGUCUUAACCAUAAACUAUGCCGACUAGGGAUCGGAUGAUGUUAAUUUUUUAAUGACUCAUUCGGCGCCUUACG
rnacentral:rRNA from 1 species